AGACCCCUAGCACUCCAAAACUGAUAUAAUAUUUACCCUACAGUGAUUUUUGAGCUCAUUAUAUUAAUCUUACCACAAAAAUGGCAAUAUUUUAUUUUUCAAAUACUGGUGAAAAUGUAAAAAGUUAUAUAAAAAUGAAAUAUGAGAGCAUAAUCAAUACAACUUCCACACAUGAAGUUUACAAUUAAUGAAGAGAAGCACACCAGGCUUUCCUAUGCUGACGAUAGAAGUUGCUGCAGCCGAAGCAGCAUCUUAAACGUGUUUUUUUUUUUAAAUGCACUGUGGGUGCAUCAACUACAUACUGAGCUAUUUUUUUCCAUCGGUUAGUAACACGGUUUGUAAAGAAGUGCUGACGUUCUGAAUAACUUUUGAUCAGUGUGGUUUUGAAAAAUGGCUGUUUCUUUUCAGAUUAUAUCGUGAAUUUAAUAAGAAAGGCUGUAUCUGUGGUAUGUAAAAUUCAACUUCUUUGUAACUGAUGAGCGAUUUUGUAUUGCAGUAUACCAAGUAUUUGUAGUCUUUUUUCGUAAUUAAAAUGUUUAAUCAA